rnacentral:rRNA from 1 species
GAUGAACGCUAGCGGCAGGCUUAAUACAUGCAAGUCGAACGGUAAGUAGUGUAGCAAUACAUUACCAAGAGUGACGUACGGGUGCGUAACACGUAUGCAACCUACCUUGUACAGGAGUAUAGCUCGGGGAAACUCGAAUUAACCCUCCAUAAGAUCGUGGUGUGGCAUCACACAGCGAUAAAAACUCAGGUGGUACAAGCUGGGCAUGCGUCUGAUUAGAGUUGGCGGGGUAACGCCCACCAAGACGAUGAUCAGUAGGGGAACUGAGAGG